UCGUUUCUGCAUAAUUUUUCACGGGUUUAACCCAUUUUUCACCCCAAAACUCCCAAUUUUGAUCUCCCAAUGCCCAAACAUGUUUCCAAAGAUUGUUUAUAGGUUCAUUAUACAAUUAGGCAUCUAAAGGAACAUAAAACAUGCAUCAACAACAACAAUUCAUCUCAUUCUCACAAUCUUGCAAUUUCCCCCAAUUUUCCUCCAAC
rnacentral:lncRNA from 1 species